ACCAGACUUGCCCUCCAAUAGAUCCUCGUUAAAGGAUUUAAAGUGUACUCAUUCCGAUUACGGAGCCUCUAAAGAGUCCCGUAUCGUUAUUUUUCGUCACUACCUCCCCGAGCUGGGAGUGGGUAAUUUGCGCGCCUGCUGCCUUCCUUGGAUGUGGUAGCCGUUUCUCAGGCUCCCUCUCCGGAAUCGAACCCUAAUUCCCCGUUACCCGUUACCACCAUGGUAGGCGCAUAACCUACCAUCGACAGUUGAUAAGGCAGACACUUGAAAGAUACGUCGCCGGUACAAGACCAUGCGAUCAGCAAAGUUAUUCAGAGUCACCAUUUAACGAGCCCGAAGACCCGAUUGGCUUUGAUCUAAUAAAAGCGCUCCUUCCACGAGGGUUGGAGCCCAGCGCAUGUAUUAGCUCUAGAAUUACCACAGUUAUCCAAGUAGUAAGUGCGAUCUAAGGAACCAUAACUGAUGUAAUGAGCCAUUCGCGGUUUCACUUUAUUUUCGCUUGAACUUAGACAUGCAUGGCUUAAUCUUUGAGACAAGCAUAUGACUACUGGCAGGAUCAACCAG
rnacentral:rRNA from 1 species